UGGCGAACGGGUGAGUAAUGUAUCGGAACGUACCUUUCAGUGGGGGAUAACUAUCCGAAAGGAUGGCUAAUACCGCAUAUUCUGUGAGCAGGAAAGCAGGGGAUCGCAAGACCUUGCGCUGAUUGAGCGGCCGAUAUCAGAUUAGCUAGUUGGUGGGGUAAUGGCUCACCAAGGCGACGAUCUGUAGCGGGUCUGAGAGGAUGAUCCGCCACACUGGAACUGAGACACGGUCCAGACUCCUACGGGAGGCAGCAGUGGGGAAUUUUGGACAAUGGGGGAAACCCUGAUCCAGCCAUGCCGCGUGAGUGAAGAAGGCCUUCGGGUUGUAAAGCUCUUUCGGCCGGGAAGAAAUCGCAUCAGCUAAUACCUGGUGUGGAUGACGGUACCGGAAUAAGAAGCACCGGCUAACUACGUGCCAGCAGCCGCGGUAAUACGUAGGGUGCGAGCGUUAAUCGGAAUUACUGGGCGUAAAGCGUGCGCAGGCGGUUUUUUAAGACAGGCGUGAAAUCCCCGGGCUUAACCUGGGAACUGCGCUUGUGACUGGAAGGCUAGAGUACGGCAGAGGGGGGUGGAAUUCCACGUGUAGCAGUGAAAUGCGUAGAGAUGUGGAGGAACACCGAUGGCGAAGGCAGCCCCCUGGGCCGAUACUGACGCUCAUGCACGAAAGCGUGGGGAGCAAACAGGAUUAGAUACCCUGGUAGUCCACGCCCUAAACGAUGUCAACUAGGUGUUGGGUGGGUAAAACCAUUUAGUACCGUAGCUAACGCGUGAAGUUGACCGCCUGGGGAGUACGGCCGCAAGGUUAAAACUCAAAGGAAUUGACGGGGACCCGCACAAGCGGUGGAUGAUGUGGAUUAAUUCGAUGCAACGCGAAAAACCUUACCUACCCUUGACA
rnacentral:rRNA from 1 species